rnacentral:rRNA from 1 species
UACGUAGGGUGCGAGCGUUAAUCGGAAUUACUGGGCGUAAAGCGUGCGCAGGCGGUUCGUUGUGUCGGCGGUGAAAGCCCCGGGCUUAACCUGGGAAUGGCCGUUGAAACUGGCGAACUGGAGUGUGGCAGAGGGGGGUGGAAUUCCGCGUGUAGCAGUGAAAUGCGUAGAGAUGCGGAGGAACACCGAUAGCGAAGGCAGCCCCCUGGGCUAACACUGACGCUCAGGCACGAAAGCGUGGGAGCAAACAGG